rnacentral:lncRNA from 1 species
CUUGAGUUGGCUGCUCUGAGUAUAGGGAGCUACAUUUAAUUUAUUUUAUUUCGACCACCUCUUAGGUUUUUCAUCCUUCAUUUCUUCUGUUUCUGGUUCUUUUUAUGGUUCUUUUAAAAGAUAAAUGUGUUUUGUUAUCCUUAAUGUUUCCUUUCUUUCUUUUGUCUUUAUCUGCAUUUAAAUGCUUUCUGCCUUCUGGUUUCUAUUUGUAGUAGUAUGUUCUUCUGUUUUUUUAGUAGAUUUUGCUCUCAGUCUACAGUCAUCUGCUUUAUGCCAUCUAGAAUAUCCUCACUCUCUUAGUUUGCUGGUGAUUAUUGUGUAUUUCUCAUGCCUUUGAAUUGAAAAUAUAUUUAUUGUGUAAUUUCCUAUGGAUUUAAGGAGGGGAAUAUAUUUUUCUGGAAUUCUCUUUCUUUCUGAUAUGCUUUCUCCCUUUUUCUUUAUCAUCAAUGACUUACUCUACCUGCCAUUUAUCUUCACCUAUGAUUUAGAAGGAAAUUAUAACAUCGACCUGAUAGGAUUGCCAAGAAGAUUAACUGACAUAUUAUAUGCAAAGCACUUAGAACAAUGCCUGGCACAUGGUCAGAAAGCAUGUAAAAAACCCUUCAGGUAUCACAGAACCAUGGAAAACUGAUCUCUUGUAUUUUUCCACUACAGUUUUCUUUGAUGGUUUUCAUGUCUGUGUUCACAAAAUGUUUCUGUCCAAUCUUCUGUCUUAAAUAAGCGUUUUCAGAUUUAUCAUGCAACUGUAUUGGUACUAUUCUUCACAGAGAUUUUUAAAAAAUCACAGUGAGAAAAAUUGUGACUUUAAAAAGUUGUUAUUUUUAUUCUUAUAAUAAAUUUAUAUAGUUUAAACUUCCUGUCAUCCUUUUUCUCUUAUAAAU